rnacentral:rRNA from 1 species
UACGAAGGGUGCUAGCGUUGCUCGGAAUCACUGGGCGUAAAGCGCACGUAGGCGGACUCUUAAGUCAGGGGUGAAAUCCUGGAGCUCAACUCCAGAACUGCCUUUGAUACUGGGAGUCUUGAGUUCGGGAGAGGUGAGUGGAACUGCGAGUGUAGAGGUGAAAUUCGUAGAUAUUCGCAAGAACACCAGUGGCGGAGGCGGCUCACUGGCCCGAUACUGACGCUGAGGUGCGAAAGCGUGGGGAGCAAACAGG